rnacentral:rRNA from 1 species
GAUUAGCUUGUUGGUGAGGUAACGGCUCACCAAGGCGACGAUCCCUAGCUGGUCUGAGAGGAUGACCAGCCACACUGGAACUGAGACACGGUCCAGACUCCUACGGGAGGCAGCAGUGGGGAAUAUUGCACAAUGGGCGCAAGCCUGAUGCAGCCAUGCCGCGUGUAUGAAGAAGGCCUUCGGGUUGUAAAGUACUUUCAGCGGGGAGGAAGGUGUUGCGGUUAAUAACCGCAGCAAUUGACGUUACCCGCAGAAGAAGCACCGGCUAACUCCGUGCCAGCAGCCGCGGUAAUACGGAGGGUGCAAGCGUUAAUCGGAAUUACUGGGCGUAAAGCGCACGCAGGCGGUCUGUCAAGUCGGAUGUGAAAUCCCCGGGCUCAACCUGGGAACUGCAUUCGAAACUGGCAGGCUUGAGUCUUGUAGAGGGGGGUAGAAUUCCAGGUGUAGCGGUGAAAUGCGUAGAGAUCUGGAGGAAUACCGGUGGCGAAGGCGGCCCCCUGGACAAAGACUGACGCUCAGGUGCGAAAGCGUGGGGAGCAAACAGGAUUAGAUACCCUGGUAGUCCACGCCGUAAACGAUGUCUACUUGGAGGUUGUGCCCUUGAGGCGUGGCUUCCGGAGCUAACGCGUUAAGUAGACCGCCUGGGGAGUACGGCCGCAAGGUUAAAACUCAAAUGAAUUGACGGGGGCCCGCACAAGCGGUGGAGCAUGUGGUUUAAUUCGAUGCAACGCGAAGAACCUUACCUGGUCUUGACAUCCACAGAACUUUCCAGAGAUGGAUUGGUGCCUUCGGGAACUGUGAGACAGGUGCUGCAUGGCUGUCGUCAGCUCGUGUUGUGAAAUGUUGGGUUAAGUCCCGCAACGAGCGCAACCCUUAUCCUUUGUUGCCAGCGGUCCGGCCGGGAACUCAAAGGAGACUGCCAGUGAUAAACUGGAGGAAGGUGGGGAUGACGUCAAGUCAUCAUGGCCCUUACGACCAGGGCUACACACGUGCUACAAUGGCGCAUACAAAGAGAAGCGACCUCGCGAGAGCAAGCGGACCUCAUAAAGUGCGUCGUAGUCCGGAUUGGAGUCUGCAACUCGACUCCAUGAAGUCGGAAUCGCUAGUAAUCGUGGAUCAGAAUGCCACGGUGAAUACGUUCCCGGGCCUUGUACACACCGCCCGUCACACCAUGGGAGUGGGUUGCAAAAGAAGUAGGUAGCUUAACCUUCGGGAGGGCGCUUACCACUUUGUGAUUCAUGACUGGGGUGAAGUCGUAACAAGGUAACCGUAGGGGAACCUGCGGUUG